AAUCGUAAAAUUCCCGAUAAGUUUUAUUCCAUUAGUAAACAAUGCUUGCGCGUUUCUAAAUUUCAAAAUCGCUUAUGCGUGAUACGCUAAACAGAAAAAUGCCGAACCAUUGAUAAAAGUUUAACGAGUUUUAUUGAUAAAGAGCUAACGAAAGUAUCGAAUAGUACAAACAACGAGAAGGAUUCAAACGUAGUAACGUGGCUGGUAAAUUGUGAACUUGUUUAAAACGCGUGGACUAGUCGAGAGAAUCGUCAACGUUUCGUCCUCUGUCCCGUCGUCGUGCAACGGAUCAACGCGAAAUUUUUCAAGUUCCAUCGCCAAGGUCGUGAAUAUUUUCUAGCCAAUUGGAAACUCUGUCGUAUUUCCAUCGCGAUGUUUCGCUUACGACACACAGACCAAGCUACUCCGGUCACAUGUUAGUCGUGCACGUGAAUCUUAUUGAACACUCAACUUGUCGGCGAUGUGUAUACACGGACGUAUUAUUCACGUAACGCGAGUACCAAAGUUCUUGGUAACGUAAGGUCAAUCGUUUCUGGUGGCAAACACACAAGCCGUGUAACGCAAGCCUAUUCAAAUGCAACGAAACAGACUACCUUGGCAGUGAGAAAAUGCAUUAUGCAAGCUGGCGCGUAGCAAAGAAGCGUCGUUCGAUUGGCCUAUAAUGACAUGCAAUUAAAGUACGUUGUUAACGUCGUCCACGGUUCAACCUGAAGCCUCCUUCGGAUUAGUUGAAUUCUCCACACGAUGAAAGUCGUCAAUUAAAAUGAUGAAAGGAAACAGUCGACGACGAUUCACAACUCUACGAUCAUAUAUUUUACAAGGAUCAACGGAAACAUUAAAAAUAUCAGAAACUUUCGUCUAGUAGAACUUGGUUCAGAUUAGAUGAAUUAUAUUGCUGAAAAUAAUUGAAGGAUUAAUAAUAUGAAUGCUUGUUGCCUAGUAGAUCAGUUGAAAAAACGAAAGUGACGAAGAAUGACGCCAGAUGGGACG